rnacentral:rRNA from 1 species
AGAUUGAACGCUGGCGGCAUGCUUUACACAUGCAAGUCGAACGGCAGCGCGGGGCAACCUGGCGGCGAGUGGCGAACGGGUGAGUAAUAUAUCGGAACGUACCCAAGAGUGGGGGAUAACGCAGCGAAAGCUGUGCUAAUACCGCAUACGAUCUAUGGAUGAAAGCGGGGGAUCGCAAGACCUCGCGCGAUUGGAGCGGCCGAUAUCAGAUUAGCUAGUUGGUGGGGUAAAAGCCUACCAAGGCGACGAUCUGUAGCUGGUCUGAGAGGACGACCAGCCACACUGGAACUGAGACACGGUCCAGACUCCUACGGGAGGCAGCAGUGGGGAAUUUUGGACAAUGGGCGCAAGCCUGAUCCAGCAAUGCCGCGUGCAGGAUGAAGGCCCUCGGUUGUAAACUGCUUUUUGUACGGAACGAAACGGUUCUCUCUAAUACAGGGCUAAUGACGGUACCGUAAGAAUAAGCACCGCUAACUACGUGCCAGCA